rnacentral:rRNA from 1 species
AGCUCCAAUAGCGUAUAUUAAAGUUGUNGCAGUUAAAACGUCNGUAGUNGAACGUUUGCCUUUUGUNUAGGCCUCUCAUCAUUCAGUUGUUGANUUUGGUUUUAGACUGGGCACAAAGUNUAGAUGGCNUGAGUUUUUNGGGGCUUGAGUNUAUUCANUMGGNGUAUUACCAUGAGCAAAUCAGAGUGUUUAAAGCNGGCUUUUAAGNUUGAACNUGUUANCAUGGAAUAAUGAAAUAUGACCCAGGGUCUAUUUCGUUGGUUUUGAGACCCAAAGUAAUGAUGAAUAGGAGUGGUCGGGGGCAUUUGUAUUUCGGCGCUAGAG